GUAGAAAUUGGUGCUAGGGGUCGGGGUAAGACGAAGGGUGCGAGCGUUGCACGGAAGUACUGGGCGUAAGGCGUGCGUAGGGGGUCGGUGAAGUCCGUUGUGAAAGCCCUGGGCUCAACCGGGGAACUGCAGUGGAUACUGGGCGACUAGAGUGUGGUAGAGGGUAGCGGAAUUCCUGGUGUAGCAGUGAAAUGCGUAGAGAUCAGGAGGAACAUCCAUGGCGAAGGCAGCUACCUGGACCAACACUGACACUGAGGCACGAAAGCGUGGGGAGCAAACAGGAUUAGAUACCCUGGUAUC
rnacentral:rRNA from 1 species